rfam:Medicago truncatula strain A17 chromosome 6, whole genome shotgun sequence.
UUAUAAGCAAAAACAUAAUUUUAGAUUCAUUCAUUAAAUGAUGUAUAUCGUCUUUAUUAUCGACCACAUACAUCAUUUAAUGAAUGAAUCUAAAAUGUUGAUUUUUGCUUAUAA